rnacentral:lncRNA from 1 species
AUGUCUUGACUCCUAAGAAGGUUCCUUUUUCCCCCUACAAACCUGCUGCAGAAGAAUAAAAUCCAAAAUAUCACCUGAGUAAAUAGAUCCAAAAGAAUAGUCAUUAGCUACUAACCUGUCUCAGCCUUUUGCACUUGAACUAGUCCUGGGCCUCAAAUAGACAUAGCUGUUCCAAGUGCCACGUCAGAACGCCCGCUCUGCCACUCACUCGCAGUCAAUCCCUUGGCACAUUACCUCAGCUUUCUGUGGCUCAGAUUCCUCAUCUGAAAGUCAGGGAGCCACAGGGCCGACCUCCCAGAUUUGCCAUGAGGAUUUAUUGAGUUCACCUACAAGAUUCACCUGAGCAGGCCUUGAAGCCAGCUGGAAGCACUUUCACAAUGAAGUAACACAGAAGACACAAAGUUUUCUCAACCAACGGUCACUGGAUCAUAGAAUAAGCCUUUCAAAGCUAAAUGAACCGUGUCCCCUUUUCCAAAUGCCUUAAAUAUCUACUGGAUUAGAAGGCCCAACUCUAACUUUGAGGACAAAACUAUAUAGAAAGGCUGAGCUCCCUCACACACGGGAGAUAAAUCAAGAAAGAAAUCAGGCAGGGCAC